GCGGAACCCAGGGGCGGUCCUGCAGCUGGGCAGGCCUGGGGCUUGGUUCUAUGUCCAUGCGAGUCGGUGCGAGGGCGAAGAGGAACCUGUGGGCCUCGGGGGAUCCCGAGGAGCCGGAACAGUGUUCCCCAGUUGUUGGAGCAGACGCGUGAGCGCAUCGCGGGCGGGCAGGGCCUGACGUGCAGGUGCGGGCCGCGGACCCUGGCAGGGGCUGGGAGGACAGGCGUGGGGUCCUGGCAGUGAAGCGGGUUCCAGAGGCGUAGGAGCGCGUAGGCGAGGCCGGUGGCCCUGGGCCCGGAGUCUGCAGGCCGCGCUCCUGUCCUGCCGCUGAGGGGCCCGGUUAUCAAGCCGCAUGUCGCUCAGUUUGCCCAUCUGUCCCGGUGCUAACACACAGUUCUCGGGAGACGUUCCCCAUUCCCAGAGGAGUAGUGCGAAACGCGUGCGCCUCGAGUCCUAAACUGGGCGUUUGUAUUAGUUGGGUUUCCCUGUGUCUCUUUAGCAAGUGAAGUUUCUGGUUCCGUCCUUCACUGUGUGACCUGCCUAGUCCUCCCGGGUUGCGUUUACAGAAGUUUGUACCAGACCUAGUUUCCAGGGAAGAACUCACUGAUUCCGCGAGGGAGGUGGGGUACUGGAUGAUGGUCUUCAGCCUUAAGGGUACUUCAGUCUUAACCGUGUGUUAUAAAGUUUGAAGGGGAGGGUUCCCUAUGAAUAAGAAGCGCACUUGAAAGAACAGCCCUCUGGUCUAACCUCUCACUGGUGCUUCAGAGGAGGAAAAAAGGUCACAGCUAUGUUUCCAGUGUCCUCUGGGUGUUUCCAAGAGCUACAAGAAACAAAUAAAUCUCUGG
rnacentral:lncRNA from 1 species